UGUUUGAAAUCUGAAGAAAAUCAGUCGUAAUAUCGGUGGCUAAAAAGAUAAACAGCAGCAUAGAGUAUGUGCAUGUUCAUGUUGAACAGAUAUUACGAUGUUGUGAAUAAAGACUGCCAGUUAUAUUAAGAUUUAAGCAGAUGACUAGUACAUGUAGAUUUUAUUGUUUGCAUAAUUAAAUAACCCAGUUAUAAUAGUUAUUUUCACAAAUAAACAAAUAUUAAAUUCAAAAUGGCGGCAAAUAUGGCGGCCGCCGGCCUCCGAUGUCCGUUUUGUUGAUACUAAGAUAAAUUCAAAAUUUUAACACCAACUGGUAUUUAUAUUUUUAAUUUAAGGUUGAAAUUACACAAUUAGGUUUAUUUGCAUUUAAAAUAAAUUAAAUAAUGAUUUAUUUUUUUUUUUUUCGAUCACGUGACGUUUUUGAGUUCUAUGAUUGGUCAAUAACAGAGCGCGGAUUUUUCCAUGGACGAUUUGAAUGUUUGGAUGUUGAAAGUGUUGAUAGAAAAAAAGGAGAUAAAACCAGUUGCAGAAUAUUGGUACAUGAUGUUUCCAUGAGCUGAAUCUGUCCUGACCUGGAGUACAUGAAAUUCUUCACAAUAUUACUUGUUUAAGAAUUGAAGAAAAGGUUAAAAUUGCAAGCAUAUUUCAACGAAAACUUAGCCGACUACCAGUCACACUGCCCACCAGCCAAGACGUCUGACCAGCUAAAAUGAGGGACGCAGUCCACCAGCCAAGUCCCUCGGCCAGCUCGGCUGACCCAGUGCGGCCUGUCAAGGGAUGACCAAGUCCAUCAACUAGCUCGGCUGACUACCAGUGCAGCCUGUCAAGUCCUUCAACUAACUUUGCCUAUUACCAGUGCGGCCUGUCAUUGAACAACCAAGUCCAUCAACUAGAUUGGCUUACUACCAGAGCGGCUUUUCAAGGGAUGGUCAAGUCCGUCAACUAACUUAACCUACUACCAGUGCCGCAUGUCAAGAGAUGGCCAAGUUCGUCAACUAGCUCGGCUUACUACCAGUACGGCCUGUCAAUAUAGGGACGGUUAAGACCGUUGACUAACUUGGCCUUCUACCAGUGCGGCUUGUCAAGGGACGUUUAAGUCCGUCAACUAACUUGACCAACUACAGAUGCGACCUGUCAAGGGAUGGCCAAGUCCUUCAACUAACUUGGCCUACUACCAGUGAGGCCUGUCAAACGAUGGCUAAGUCUGUCAGCUAACUUGGUCUACUACCAGUGCGGCCUGUCAAACGAUGGCCAAGUCCUUCAACUAACUUGGUCUACUACCAGUGCGGCCUGUCAAACGAUGGCUAAGUCUGUCAGCUAACUCAGCCAACUUUCAGUGCAGCCUAUUUUCAAAUAAUAAAGAUAAACAACUGUACACCUGCAAGGAUACCUGUGCAAGGAGGGUGGUAUGCAGCUAGAAACUGUGACUGAAAUCACUGUUUAUAGAACCUUUCUUUUUUUUUUUGAAAUACAGCUGGAUCAAAAAUAAAUAGGGUGUUAAUAUUUAAAAAUUAAUGAUGUCUGUUUAUACAAUUAGCAAGAGUAGAAUGCAGUUUGCUAGGUAAUUUUACAAAGACCCUAAUUGCUAUAUGCUAAAAAUUUAUUCUUUAAAACAACCAGAGAAAUUUCAAUCUGUUGUAGAUGACAUGAUGUAAAAUAAGGUACACUUGAAUUUUUAAAACAAUUGCAUGUGCAUUCAUUUAGUUGUAUUUGACAAUAAACCAAGCUAUCUUUAUGGUGUUUGUUAGGU